AACAUGGUAGUGGGAACCGAUGAUGCGGCGAGCCAGAGGUGGACGACGCAAGAAAAUUCCACAACCAUGAUGCAUGCUGGAACCGACCAUGGAGAGAUGGAAUCGCAACAGAAGAUGGAGCUCACCUGCAUCCAUGUUGCAAAUUCCCGUCAGCCGCGCGGCGAAAGGCCGCAGUGUUGUAACUGGAGGUUGAGGGAGGAGGGGGAAGAGAGAGUCGUGCGCGCGCGUUUCUACGUAUCUCAUCUAACGGUCAGGGUUAGACCGGCCCAAAGUUUGGGCUGGCUGGCCGGCGGAGAAUUCAGCCCGAAAUAAAAAGGGACAUAGAUGUCUUUCAUAAAUCUCUCCCUAAUAAUAAAGCGGUUAGGGCUGCUGGUCGAACGUCGUCGGUGGUUUUUCGAAAACGCCCCUCCGUUACUUUGAAAUAAACCCGCAAUCCUGUUUAAGUGGAUCUGAUAAAACCGUUUUCACAGAAAACACCCUGCCGCAUUUGCCCGUGUCCGCCGCCACCGACCGCACACCGUGCCUCCACGCGCGGGCGGCUCGCGCUCGUGCCUCCCUGCCGCCCCGCGCCGCCGCCCACCGGAGCUCCGCCGCCGGAACAACGCGCCGCCAUGCCCUCCUCUCCUUCUUCCUUCCCCUCCCUCCUGUUCUAUUUCUCACAUCCCCCUCUCUCUCUCCUUCGCAGGAAGCGGAAGCCAUGGCCCUGGACCUCCAUGCUGGACCGCCGACCCGCGCCGGCCGGCCAUCGGAGCGCCGCCGCUGGACCAACACGCCGCCCUGCCCUCCUCUCCUUCUUCCCUCCCUUCCCUCUGGUUAUAUUUCUCACAUCCCCCUCUCUCUCCCCUUCAAAGGAAGCGGAAGCCAUGGCCGUUGGACCUCCAACUGGACCGCCACCCCAUGCCGGCCGGCCACCGGAGCGCCGCCGUCGGACCAACGCGGGUUGCCGCGCUGGACCGCAGCCUGGACGAAACUCCGGCGAGGCCAUGAGCUCCCGAGUCCCAACCCGGGCUUAGGAGCGUACGGGAGCGCCGUCGUGGAUCAUGCGCGUCCUAGGUCCGCCGAGGCCACGGGCUCCCAAGCCGGGCAUAGGUUCUGUAGGAAGCACAAGAAAGUGGGUAUGAAAGCUAUGAGACGAUGGCCAAUACAGAUAUUGACAGGGCUGGAAGUCCGGAGCCAACGAAUAUACAUAGCGACUUAAAGUGUGACAAUAUAUUCAUAAAUAGUCCUGAUGGAACAGUGAAGAAUGGCGACUAUAUGGUCUGGCGACAUUAUUGCAUCAAUGGAAAAAGCAAAGUGUCAAAGGCGCAUUAGACUUUAUGGCACCAGAACGCUUCACUGGCAAUUACAAUGAGUUGGGUAUUCCAACCCCCUUGCUGAACCCUGUGCUAUUCGCAGCCUCUUCUGUCAAUCCAGCAGCACACCGCUGCCCUUCGCAUCCUCCCUGCAUCACUGCGACUGGGCCGUGCUCACAUUGUCCGCUGUCACAUGCGCAAUCUCUGCACUCGACGCUGCCUCCACCGAGAUUCAUUGCAAGGUCUGUUCGUAGCCACGGUUCUUGCUCCGUACCAUUGUUGAUGCUCCUGUUAAAGGAGCAUCAGUUUUACGCAUGCUUCCUGGGUCCUUGGUGAGAGGCCUCUGUGAUGUUAUUCUUUUAGGUAAGCUUUACUCAGGUUGCUACUCAUGUCACAGUGUCUGUAAUUUAGCCAGAGUCAGGUUCAGAGUUGUUGACUGAAUUUUUUGGGCACAACCAUCAAGCAACCUGAGUAAAGCUUACCUAAGCCAAUGAUUUUGUUCUAUUAGCUAGAGCCAGGUUCAGAUUUGUUCACUCUGGAUUUUUUGGGCACAACCAUCAAGCAAGCUAGGACGUAUUGUUUAACUGAAGCAAAGGGCAGGUAAGCUAUGAAUGCUUCAUUCUUCGUUCUGAACAAAUGCAGCUACUAUUUGUAUUUGAUCUGAGCAAAGGUGCAACCAAUUGAAGUUAUUUUGAAGAACCUGCACCUGAGUCUAUAUGUUCUGAUUUUAUAGCCUGCAGAGUCUGUAGAGUAAAGUUUGUACAUUUUGUGAAUCGCUUUGUUCCGGUUUCCCCUGGUGGUCUAUACUGUAUCAGGUUAUUUACUAUGUGCAGAUUUGUUUGUGCCAUUGCCGAUCAUGUACUUCUUUCUGUGCUUGGAAGCAUAGUCUCAUCGUAUCCCCUAGAUCUGUAUAAGUAUAUUUAGCUCACAUACACUUGGCAUUUGUUCUUCAAAAGGCGCCACUCCGUGUCCUCUCGCCCUGCACGAUCUUCCCUAAAGGCCACGAGAUCAACAUCAAAGAGCUGUGUGGACUUUAAGAUGUCCUCGAUGCUGGACUCCUGGUAACAGUUUAUUACAUGUUAUUUCUUUUUCUUUUUUGGUGAGUCUUUUCUUGAGAUUUAGGAUUAUGGAGUUAACGGGUGUUACUUUUGACCUGCUAAUACCUCUGCGUUAAACUUUUUGCUCUUCGAAAGCAACUAUGUAAGUCUGACGCUAACAUAAUGUUUACUGCUAUAAUACUUCAGUUUAACUUAGAGUCAGGAACACAAGUAGAAUUUCAUAGAAAUCUGUCUAGCUCCUGUAGAUGAAAGACUUCCUGCAAGUGAGCUCUUGAAUAACUCUUACCUCCAGGAAGAUGAGGUCUAUUCCAGCGCCUCCAAUUUUAGUCUCUCUGGUCUCAAGUGUGACUGAAGAUGGGUGGCAAUCUGCAAGUUUCGUGCUUUGGAAGGGUGAAUUCUUACUGAAAAACCAUAUGCAUCUUACGACCAUAUUAAUUUAGUGCUAAGGUUUCCUCAUACCAGUGGCUGUUUAAAGAAUGCUGAGUUGUCAAGCGAGGUGCUGCAGUGGCUGGCGUUGCCGGGCAUGGGACGACGUCCCUAGGCUCCUGCCUGAGGCAAGCCUCUCUGGCCUCCUCGGAUGCCCUCUAGGAACUGGCACUGCGUAUGAUGGCCUCCUCACCUAGCACCUAGGUUGACCUAGCCACCGCCAUCGAAGCGGAGAGUUGACAACAUAUGUAUGAUUGUUGGACGUGUCAGUCCUGCUCAGUCCUGCCAUUGGCAUGUUCAAAACUAUGAAUUGAGUGACUACAAAUAUGGUUUGAUCAAUGAAAUGAAAGGAUGUUCUGUUA